GUUGUUAACUUCACUCUAUUGCUGUGAUUUCAAGGAAAAAAAGRACGCGUUAGGGAUCCAGGUUUUGAUAACAGUGACGAUUCAAUACCAAAAGAUUUAUUGGACGAUUUAAAACAAGAUGCAUCAAGAGAGAAUGCUGCAAGAGAUACAGGUA